rnacentral:rRNA from 1 species
GACAGAGGGGGCAAGCGUUGUCCGGAUUGACUGGGCGUAAAGGGCGCGUAGGCGGCCGAUCAAGUCGGAGGUGAAAGCCCAGGGCUCAACCCUGGAAUGGCCUUCGAUACUGGUUGGCUCGAGACCGGAAGAGGUAAGUGGAACUGCGAGUGUAGAGGUGAAAUUCAUAGAUAUUCGCAAGAACACCAGUGGCGAAGGCGGCUUACUGGUCCGGUUCUGACGCUGAGGCGCGAAAGCGUGGGGAGCAAACAGG